AGAGUUUGAUCAUGGCUCAGAUUGAACGCUGGCGGCAUGCCUUACACAUGCAAGUCGAACGGUAACGGGCCUUCGGGUGCCGACGAGUGGCGAACGGGUGAGUAAUGUAUCGGAACGUACCUUUCAGUGGGGGAUAACGUAGCGAAAGUUACGCUAAUACCGCAUAUUCUGUGAGCAGGAAAGCAGGGGAUCGCAAGACCUUGCGCUGAUUGAGCGGCCGAUAUCAGAUUAGCUAGUUGGUGAGGUAAAGGCUCACCAAGGCGACGAUCUGUAGCGGGUCUGAGAGGAUGGUCCGCCACACUGGAACUGAGACACGGUCCAGACUCCUACGGGAGGCAGCAGUGGGGAAUUUUGGACAAUGGGGGCAACCCUGAUCCAGCCAUGCCGCGUGAGUGAAGAAGGCCUUCGGGUUGUAAAGCUCUUUCGGCCGGGAAGAAAUCGUAUGGGUUAAUACCCUGUGCGGAUGACGGUACCGGCAUAAGAAGCACCGGCUAACUACGUG
rnacentral:rRNA from 1 species